rnacentral:rRNA from 1 species
AUUAAACGCUGGCGGCAUGCCUUACACAUGCAAGUCGAACGGCAGCACGGGGGCAACCCUGGUGGCGAGUGGCGGACGGGUGAGUAAAGCAUCGGAACGUAUCCUGGAGUGGGGGAUAACGUAGCGAAAGUUACGCUAAUACCGCAUAUUCUGUGAGCAGGAAAGCAGGGGAUCGCAAGACCUUGCGCUCUGGGAGCGGCCGAUGUCGGAUUAGCUAGUUGGUGGGGUAAAGGCCUACCAAGGCGACGAUCCGUAGCGGGUCUGAGAGGAUGAUCCGCCACACUGGGACUGAGACACGGCCCAGACUCCUACGGGAGGCAGCAGUGGGAAUUUUGGACAAUGGGCGCAAGCCUGAUCCAGCCAUGCCGCGUGAGUGAAGAAGGCCU